GACAGAGGGGGCAAGCGUUGCUCGGAAUCACUGGGCGUAAAGGGCGCGUAGGCGGGAUGGCAAGUCGGUCGUGAAAUCUCUCGGCUCAACCGAGAAACGUCGGCCGAUACUGCCGUUCUUGAGGGAUGCAGAGGAGACUGGAAUUCCCGGUGUAGCGGUGAAAUGCGUAGAGAUCGGAAGGAACACCAGUGGCGAAGGCGGCUACCUGGCCUAAUACUGACACUGAGGCACGAAAGCGUGGGGAGCAAACAGG
rnacentral:rRNA from 1 species